GACGAACGCUGGCGGCGUGCUUAACACAUGCAAGUCGAACGGAAAGGCCCUGCUUUUGUGGGGUGCUCGAGUGGCGAACGGGUGAGUAACACGUGAGUAACCUGCCCUUGACUUUGGGAUAACUUCAGGAAACUGGGGCUAAUACCGGAUAGGAGCUCCUGCUGCAUGGUGGGGGUUGGAAAGUUUCGGCGGUUGGGGAUGGACUCGCGGCUUAUCAGCUUGUUGGUGGGGUAGUGGCUUACCAAGGCUUUGACGGGUAGCCGGCCUGAGAGGGUGACCGGCCACAUUGGGACUGCGAUACGGCCCAGACUCCUACGGGAGGCAGCAGUGGGGAAUAUUGCACAAUGGGCGGAAGCCUGAUGCAGCAACGCCGCGGUCGGGAUGACGGCCUUCUGGUUGUAAACCGCUUUCGCCUGUGACGAAGCGUGAGUGACGGUAAUGGGUAAAGAAGCACCGGCUAACUACGUG
rnacentral:rRNA from 1 species